AGUACCUCUCCUCGUUUUCUUUUUGCUGCCCAUCGUGGCACUGGUCCCCAUCUCCAUGUGCCUCCGUAGGUCUGGCUGUCCCAGCUCGAUCUCUCGCCUCACCUUUGCAUCUGGCUGUCACUGCCUGUU